ensembl:lncRNA
CAGUAAUAGGCAGAAGGAUCAAUGGAUGAAAGACCCAGUGGGGUGGAAUGCUUGUUGGAGCUGGAGGGACAGAGGGGUGAGCUGGAAAGACAGGUGGGUGGUCAUAGCGUGUGAUCCCGGAAAUGGAUGGUUUGCAGUUAUUAGUAAUAGCAAAGUCUGGGUUUGGGCUAAGGUCACGUGGAGGACAAGAUUAUUAUUAUUUUUUUUUUUGAGGAAGAUCAGCCCUGAGCUAACUGCCAGCAAUCCUCCUCUUUUUGCUGGGGAAGACUGGCCCUGAGCUAAUAUCCGUGCCCAUCUUCCUCUACUGUAUAUGUGGGACGCCUACCACAGCAUGGCUUGACAAAUGGUGCCAUGUCUGCACCCAGGAUGCGAACUGGUGAACCCCAGGCCACCGAAGCGGAAUGUGCGCACUUAACCGCUGUGCCACCGGGCUGGCACAGAGACAAGAUUAUUGAGAAGACCUCAAGGAACUGAGAGACCAGGGUCUUGGGUGACACUGAUGCUAAUGCUGCUGGUCGGGGACCAGUUUUGAGAACCACAGGAGAAGUGCAUUACAGUCAGUUUGCCCCGCAGAAUGGAGCACCCAUUUGUGCCUCAUGAUGGUGAAUUCACUGAAGGCCGCCAGCACGGCUGUGUUUUUGUCUCUGUCAUGCUCAGCUGCACUGGAACCGGCACAGAGCAGGCAGGUAGGUUUAACUUGGGUUGAAUUUUAGCCAAGUGAAUGCUACAAAUCCUGGGAAAGGCAAGUAGGUUAAGGGGAGAGGCACUGGAAUGACUGGGCUGAUUGACCUUGGAUGUGAAUCUGGGCAAGGUGAGAGGAGAGGUGAGUCGUUGGUGGAGACAUGUCAGGAUCCAGGAUGUCCAGGGUUGUUGUGGUCUGGGUCCUUAGAGGGAGUGAGCUAGAAUUGAGGUUAUGGAUGGGGUGAGACCAUAGCAAGGAGUGGCCAAGGUUGGGUGGAAGACAGGGUGCUUGUAGGACAGGAGGUCCAGGAAUGAGAGGCCAGAGUCUUGGAAGGUGCAUCUAUCUGUUUGGAUAUUGAAAACACUAAGAAUUGAAGCAGGAGCCACUUAGAGAGAGUGGCAGUGAGCCAGGAGCUAAAAUCCUCAAGCAAUGAGGUGGUGACCUGGUGGCCCAGAGGCGACGGCGACAAGGAGAGGUGGCGGGAGCUGCAUUCUAAUGACAAGAGGUUCAAAGCCAGAAGGUUUAACAGGAACGACCAUGGAGAGAGGUCUGGCAAGACAAGGGGAACAAGGAGGAGCCCACCCCACCUCCAGGCCUGGAGCAGAGAAGCAGGAGUGAGCAGAGCCAUCACUUAGGGAGCCGCUGGGAAGCUGAGCUCUCAGGGAGAGCCAGGGUCCGUUCCCUCCGUAGUUCUCCACCCUAGCCUCAAAUGAGAAACACCUGGGGAAUUUGGAGACCACACGGGAGCCUGGACCCCACUAUCUGAGGUUUGAAUUUCAUAAGUCUGGUGAGGAGCCUGGACUUGGGUGUGUUCUUAAGCCCCGGACGUGAUUUGAUUGUGCAGCUCGGGAGGGAGAGGAAGACGGUGAAGGGGACACUGACAGGAGUCCAAGGAUGUGGGGGACUUUGCCAGUGAUUGGCCUGGGGUCCAGAGGGAAAAUGGCAGGCUUCAGGACAUGGGACCAGACUAGGGGAGG